UAGUACGGUAAGAGUGCCCAGCAGUAUAAAUGGGUAAAUAAUUACAGUGAUGGUUGUCUUUCAUAGUAAAAGAAAUUUUUUGACAAAGGUGGCAGGUGGAGUUUUUAUGGCACUUGAAAUAAUCUGAAUGUCAUUUUUGUUUAUUUCAGCCUGUUUACUUCACACACAUGAUUCCAGUGUGUAUUUUAGGCAGCACAGUCAGACUCCCAAACAGUGAGUGUGAGUUCAAGGCAGCUCACUUUGGACCGUGGGGUCACAGCCCCCUCGCCCUCUCUCCCUGUCUCCCCACCGCAGCUGCCCCCCUUUCCAGGCCUGCUGCUUGAUUUAGCUCCAGAUCGCAGUGAAACCACGGUAUAAAGAAUGAUUCGAGGUCCAGCCCAGACGUUGUACCAUCAGGCCUUCGGAAAUCUGUAAUUUCACAGUAGACCUGAUGGGUGUUGUGGUGGUGAGAGCAGCUGCCGUUGGACCUGAACGUCGCAGGUCCCUCAUUUGUCGGCGCGAACGAAGGAAGCGAAUGCGCUGUCCUCGCGCUCCAGCAGC